GUAAGGUUAGUUUAUAGGAAAACGUUAGGUUGUGGUUCUAAAAAAAAUAUGUGAUAUUACUUUACU
rnacentral:tRNA from 1 species